rnacentral:rRNA from 1 species
GAUGAACGCUGGCGGCGUGCCUAAUACAUGCAAGUCGAGCGAACAGAUGAGAAGCCUGCUUCUCUGAUGUUAGCGGCGGACGGGUGAGUAACACGUGGGUAACCUACCUAUAAGACUGGGAUAGCUCCGGGAAACCGGGGCUAAUACCGGAUAAUAUUUUGAACCGCAUGGUUCAAUAGUGGAAGACGGUUUCGGCUGUCACUUAUAGACGGACCCGCGCCGUAUUAGCUAGUUGGUAAGGUAACGGCUUACCAAGGCGACGAUACGUAGCCGACCUGAGAGGGUGAUCGGCCACACUGGAACUGAGACACGGUCCAGACUCCUACGGGAGGCAGCAGUAGGGAAUCUUCCGCAAUGGGCGAAAGCCUGACGGAGCAACGCCGCGUGAGUGAUGAAGGUCUUCGGAUCGUAAAACUCUGUUGUUAGGGAAGAACAAAUUUGUUAGUAACUGAACAAGUCUUGACGGUACCUAACCAGAAAGCCACGGCUAACUACGUGCCAGCCGCCGCGGUAA